ensembl:lncRNA
AAUGAAAAUAGGAAAAUCACCUUCAAAGAUAAUUUGUUACUGAUGAGACCAGGAGGAAGCCCUUUAAAUCAUAUGAAAAAAUUCUCAAGGAGGUAAUACAAAUAUAAUUUAAUAAACUUGGCCUAAUUAAUGAUGACAUUUAUUAUUGGCAAGACAGGAGGGUGAUAUUCUGUGUGGAGAUUGAAAAAGAAAUAAGGGUGAGUAAGAAUUUUUCAAUAUUUCUUGAGUACAGUAGAGAUCCAGGUGGCUUGGGAAGAAAUAUUUUCCCUAGGGCAGAGAAUAAAAAUUUAUCACGAAACUGUAGAUCUUACCAGUUCUAUUGCCUCUGUAAAUGCAUAACUUUAGCCUUUCAGUUUACAAAUAUGAAUCUUGGUGUGUUAAUCAGAAUCCUCUUGUGAACAAGUAGCAGAAAUGGUCUCAGACCAGCUUGGCUUACGUAGGAAAGGAGUUCUGAUGGCUCACUGGGGAGGUGUCAUGUGGUGUGACUCAGGCAGGUACAGGAGGGAAUGGGGUAUGUGGGGGCGGGGAACCCAGGUGAGAGAGGCCUUGCACUUGGGGUUUAAUGCUCUGUGCUCACCAUUUUGAUGUUCUUAAUAAUUUUAUCUCUGAAUUUGUAGGUGAAGUCUGAUGGGACAAGGGAGCAUGGACCAGAGGCUCGGCACUUCUGCUCACAGGCCUCCUUCCGCCGGCCGUAUGGGUUCUCAACUGGUUACUUCUCUGGCCUCUGGCCCCCAGAGCAGGGGUUCUGUCUUCUGGACCUAUGGGAUUCGCAACCUCGUCCCCAUGGCUUUGCCAUUCUGUGUGAUGCCCACCUCCAAGGUGGCUCUGUGCCUGGGUCAUGUGUCUGAAGUUCCCCAGAGCUAGAAUCGGACACUGGUGAGUCUAUUAUCCUGAGGUCACAGGGGUAGCCAGACCACCAAGAAUCUGCUGAGCAUUGCCCUAACAAGGGCUCCCUGCAGUGACCACAUGCUCACUGGGGCUUUGGUCACUCUGUAUGUGAAGGGAGUAGCAGCCCUGAUGACUUCUCAGUUGCCUUGGGGAUCAUUCUUCCAUUGUCUUGGAUAAUAGGUCCUGUCUUCUGUUUAAACUGUGACUUGGCCACAUCUUUGGCCACAUCCUUGGUUUUUUCUCCUGAACAGUGUCCAACUUCAACUCCCUCUAGCUUUUCACCUGGGAGAAGGAAAAUCCCCAACUUCAGCCUACUCUGCCAUCCUGUCUUACCUACUGGGGUGGCGGAUGGGGGCAGUUGGGGUAAGCGGGGAGGGGGAAGCACUUGUGAAAUUCAUAGUCCGGAGGCACAAGCCCACUAAAAGACUGAUAUUGAAUCACAGGACUACAGUACACUUUCCCGUCCCUCCUCCCACCUUACCUACACAUUACUAAAGGCCUAUUUAUAGCAGUUCCUUUUACUGAGUACAACACGUCUGGCUAUUAAGAAAAAAUUCCAUCUCAUUGAAGUCUGGGUGUUUGGAAAAAAAAGAAAAAAUUACAAGGCAUAUUAAAAGGCAAAAACAGGCUGAAGAGAUAGCAAGCAUGAGAAUCUUACUCAGAUGUGACAGGGGUAUUGAAAUUAUUAGAUCAGGAAUCUAGAAUUAUGAUUAAUAUGCUAAGGACAUUAAUGAAUAAAGUAGAUGGCAUGCAAGAACAGAUGGGCAAUGUAAGCAGAGAGAUGGAUAUUCUAAGAAAAAACUGAAAAGAAAUGCUGGAGAUCAGAAAACAUAAUAGAAAUGAAGAAUUCUUCUAUGGGCUUAUGAGCAGACUGAACAUGGUUGAGGAAGGAAUCUCUGAGCUUGAGCAUCUCUCAACAGAAAGUGCCCUAACUGAAAAGCAAAGAGAAAAAAAAAAAAAGGAAAAAAAUAUUUAAGGACUGUGGGACAACUAUAAAAGGUUUGAAAACAUUUAAUGAAAAUAUUAGAAGAAGAAGAAAUAUAGCCAGGAACAGAAGAAGUAUUUGUAACAAUAAUGACUGAGAAUUUCCCAAAAUUAAUGUCAGACACCAAACCACAGAUUUAGG